rnacentral:rRNA from 1 species
CACUCCUGCGGGAGGCAGCAGUGGGGAAUAUUGCACAAUGGGCGCAAGCCUGAUGCAGCCAUGCCGCGUGUAUGAAGAAGGCCUUCGGGUUGUAAAGUACUUUCAGCGGGGAGGAAGGCGAUAAGGUUAAUAACCUUGUCGAUUGACGUUACCCGCAGAAGAAGCACCGGCUAACUCCGUGCCAGCAGCCGCGGUAAUACGGAGGGUGCAAGCGUUAAUCUGAAUUACUGGGCGUAAAGCGCACGCAGGCGGUCUGUCAAGUCGGAUGUGAAAUCCCCGGGCUCAACCUGGGAACUGCAUUCGAAACUGGCAGGCUAGAGUCUUGUAGAGGGGGGUAGAAUUCCAGGUGUAGCGGUGAAAUGCGUAGAGAUCUGGAGGAAUACCGGUGGCGAAGGCGGCCCCCUGGACAAAGACUGACGCUCAGGUGCGAAAGCGUGGGGAGCAAACAGGAUUAGAUACCCGGGUAGUCCC